UACGUAGGGAGCAAGCGUUGUCCGGAAUCAUUGGGCGUAAAGCGCGCGUAGGCGGCCCUGUAAGUCCGUUGUGAAAGUCAAAGGCUCAACCUUUGAACGCCGAUGGAUACUGUGAAGCUAGAGUACGGAAGAGGCGAGUGGAAUUCCUGGUGUAGCGGUGGAAUGCGCAGAUAUCAGGAGGAACACCAAUAGCGAAGGCAGCUCGCUGGGACGUUACUGACACUGAGGCGCGAAAGCGUGGGGAGCGAACAGG
rnacentral:rRNA from 1 species